rnacentral:lncRNA from 1 species
GAGGCUUGACCUUCUUGUCGAAUGCUUUCUUCAUUCUCUGCUGAUAUAACUGACCAUGGCACAUGGCAGUUAAACGCUUCUCUUCGAUUAAAUUCAACUGGUCGUAACGACUCUGAAUCCAUUCAGCAUCAGUCAACUAGGGACUUGAGGGUAUAAUUUUUUCUUUUUUCCCUUGGAAAAAUUUUCCUGGUUUUUUGAUUUUUUCAUUCUUUUUUCACCCUCUUUUUCUCUUUUUUCUUUGAUUGAUUUUUUUUUU